rnacentral:rRNA from 1 species
UAGGGAAUCUUCCACAAUGGACGCAAGUCUGAUGGAGCAACGCCGCGUGAGUGAAGAAGGUUUUCGGAUCGUAAGCUCUGUUGUUGGUGAAGAAGGAUAGAGGCAGUAACCGGUCUUUAUUUGACGGUAAUCAACCAGAAAGUCACGGCUAACUACGUGCCAGCAGCCGCGGUAAUACGUAGGUGGCAAGCGUUGUCCGGAUUUAUUGGGCGUAAAGCGAGCGCAGGCGGAAUGAUAAGUCNGAUGUGAAAGCCCACGGCUCACCGUGGAACUGCAUCGGAAACUGUCAUUCUUGAGUGCAGAAGAGGAGAGUGGAACUCCAUGUGUAGCGGUGGAAUGCGUAGAUAUAUGGAAGAACACCAGUGGCGAAGGCGGCUCUCUGGUCUGCAACUGACGCUGAGGCUCGAAAGCAUGGGUAGCGAACAGGAUUAGAUACCCUGGUAGUCCAUGCCGUAAAC